rnacentral:piRNA from 1 species
AGACCACAGAAGAUGAACUCCAUAUUUGC